rnacentral:rRNA from 1 species
UACAGAGGGUGCGAACGUUGCUCGGAAUUACUGGGCGUAAAGCGCGUGUAGGCGGGUCGCAAGUCAGGCGUGAAAAUCCCCCAGGCUCAACCCUGGGGAACUGCGCUUGAAACUGCCGGUCUGAGUAUCGGAGAGGGUGGCGGAAUUCCAGGUGUAGCGGUGAAAUGCGUAGAUAUCUGGAGGAACACCGGUGGCGAAGGCGGCAUCCUGGACCGACACUGACACUGAGGAGCGAAAGCCAGGGGAGCAAACGGG